rnacentral:lncRNA from 1 species
GGUAAAUGUUCUUAUUUUAUUUAUUAACUUCGCUAUUUUGAGAAUUUCUGAAAAUAGGAUUUUCGGUAUAUAUAUAUAUAUGUAUAUUUAUGAGGAGAGUAUGUAUAUAAAUGCUAGUUAGCCAUAUGUGUCUGUACACCUUAAUGACGUAGUAUAUAACCGCAUUAUGGUGUGACGUGAGCAUUAGACGCGAGCGUAGUAGCCCUAUAUGGGUAUAUAUGGGCACAUAUUUAUACACUUGUCCAUCCACCUUAAUGGCGUAGUGUAGCACCGCAUUAAGGCGUGACAUGAGCGUUAGACGCAAGCGUAGUAGCCUUGUAUGAAUUUCUAUUUUCCUUAUAUUUCCUUCAUAGAAUUCAUACAAGAAGUAUGGACGUGUAUAGAUACAUACAUAUUAUAUAUAUUGAUGGAUUUAUAUUAUUGAGUUUGAGAGGCUCGAUAUUUAAGAGAUGAAAGUUUUAUCGUUUGAGGCAUGCAUUUGAUUUCUUUGGAAAUUUAAUUUGGGAUAGCAUUAAUUAUUUCUGUUAAAUUUAUUUUUAUCCACUCACUCUAACGUUUGCAAAUGUUGUCCCCUGGGCCCUUCGUUUUAAAAAUGCCCACUAUGCAGGUUAGCAUAGUUGAGGUCGAGCGUACAUGGAGAAGAGGUAUAGUCAAUAGUAUAGCUUCCGCUCAUUUUUAUAUUUCUAGUUCUUUUCCUCUCAAAUAAAUUGCUGUCACAUCCCAGUUCUUAAAUUAAAUUACGGUUAUUUACUUUGGUAUUACUUUGGUCUUUUACCGUUUUAUGUAACCGUUUACUAUUUAAGACUCCAAAAGUUGACUUUUUCUUCCGUUUGAAAUUUGGGAAAAUUUUCUUCACAAAAGUCGUAGAGGACGUUAAUACAAAUUCGUAGACAUACUAUAUAUUAAAAUCGGAGUUAGCAUGAAAAAGUUAUCAGAUAAAAGGGGUAAAUUUUGAGUGGUAAAAAUGGGGUGAAUUUUAGUAGGCUUUAUUUGUUGUGGGUAUUAAGUUGGACCGGGUGUGAAGCAGCCCAACACCCACACACUUACUCUCUCUCUCUCUCUCUUCCUUCUCUCUCUCCCGAACUCUCCCCGACCCGCCGGAUUCCUCGGCUCCAACCGCCACCGUCCGGCCACCAAUGACCGACGCACCGGUCCAAAACGGUCAGCCGUCGACCUAGCCUUCUCCAUGGACCGGUGAGAGAUGCCCUAGCGCCGCCGUGAGGGAGAGAGCUCGCCUAGAAGCUCUGCUUGCGUUGUGGAGUCCCGUCGUCGGAACUCGCUACUCCCGCCGCCAUCGCCGGUGAUUUGGGUCUCAUUUGGAAGAGCUUGUUUUGUGUAACAAUCCCCUAGAAGGUAAUUAACCAAUUCGAAAUGUGUAGGAGGAUUUUUGGUCUAGGGUUUGAAUUGGGGAUUUUUUUAUGUUUUGAUUUGAUUACCCUAUUUAGGCUUAGAAUUGGACUAAGUGCUAGUUAUGGAAGUUGUUGUGCAUAUUUAGAGGAUUGUUGUGCUAAAUUUUGGGAAACAUUGGAGGUCGCCGGAGUACGGCUGCCGGCGGAGCCUCCCCUUAGGGGUAGUUUUUCAUGUUUUUGAGAUUGUUUUAAGGAGAGGAGUUUAAUGAUGUGAAGUUUAGAAUUUUUGGAGGAGUUUUGGUUAGGUUUGGGAUUUUUCAAAGAUUGAGAAUUUUAGUGGUUGUUAGAAUGAAAAUCCGGCCAUUGGAUUUCCUUGGUAUUUAUUCUAGAAUAUUAGAAUUGAUGAAUUAAGGUUGUGGUGGAGUUUGGUAUGAAUCCGAUAAGCUUAACCCUAGACAGGGUAGUGGGUUAGGCGGAAGAUUUUCAGGGUGUUUUAUUAAAGCAUUUAUUUUUCCAAAAAUCGGAAUGUGGUUCUAAUUAUGCUUAUGGUGUUAGGAUUCAUGGAGACCUCACUUGUAUGGCUAUAUCUGCUUCUUAUUUAUUGUUGUUGACCUGACUAACGGGGCUAGUCUAUCUUUUUGAUAUUCCUUUUUACAAAGAUCUUUAUGAAUCCUUGUUGUUGUUGUUUUGAUUGCGAGGCUAGUUCGUUUUCUCGGGAUUUUCUUUUUGAAGGCAUUAUCAACAGUUGCAUGCAAUGGAUUUAUUGCUUAUCGGAAAGUGAGAAAGUAUUUAAGUUUUGGUUUCUUAUCCUAUGUCCUUUUAUUUAUUUAUUUUUGUCCACUCACUCUAACGUUUUAAAUUACUUUCCUCUGGGCCUUUUGGUUUCAAAUGCCCAGUUUGCAGGCUAAGUUUAAAUGAGGUCGAGUGUACAUGGAGUCGAGGCAUAGUCAGAGGCUGCUUCUGCUUACUCUUUAUUCAUUGUUUUUCUUUCAUUAUAGAUGCUCUGAUGACCAUUAGAGAUUGUUAUUAGUUGAGUAUGGUUGAAAGUAUUUUGGGAGAUGUUAUGAACUUGGGGAGCAAGAAGGCUCUAGGAGUUGAGGUUGGUUGAUUUAUAAUAGAAGUGUCUAUUUGGAAUUUUUUCAUGGAAGCGUUGUCCAUUUUCAAGGUAAAUUAUGCCAAUUUUUCAGUAAAUUUUCCUUGGAGGUGGACCCUGUAGGAUUUACUUCGGGUUUCAGAGUGAAAUUCUGGGUGGGUCCUGUCAGUUGGUAUCAAAGGUUAGGUUAUCCGAUUCCUAUCACUACCUCAUAUGCUUAUUGGUGAUACUUAGUGUCUAUAGAGUGAUGGUCCGACCGCGGUGGAUCCAUUAGCAUUAUAUGCAUCAGAUGCUAUGUGUUUAUUACGUAUGUGAGGUAGUUCUUGUCUUUUUUAUGGAUAGUAUUGUGUCAUAAAUUUCUAUAUCUUCAAGACUAUGCCUCCGUACGCCAACCUCAAAGAGUAUCUUGGUUAUUUUCCGAGUAAUGGGAAGGUAAGUGAUUUGUGAGAUUUUGAGUUCAGUUAUGAGUUGGGAAGUGACCUGGAUUUGUAGUGUUCUACUAUUUAUUUAUUUAGUUGUUGACUUUUAUUUGAUUGACAAGUUGAGCCUUUUUGCUGAUAUUAAUAAUAGGAAGGGCAUGCUUGUGAACGAGGGAUUGAGCAAUUUCUAGUUAAGGUUGGUAUUGGAAUAAGAGAUAUUAUAAGGGAGUUAAGCAAGUGUUGUUUUGCUUUGAGAUAAAUAGUAAAGUGAUACUGCUUGAGUUAAUUAAUUGUGGAUGUUAUUGGAUGCGUUAAAUGGGGCUAUUAAAGUUUGGUUUAUGCAUUGAAGUUCGAUUUCUGUGAUUGUUAUUGGUCGAUUUAGGUUUGGUAUGUGUGAUGUGGGAUUCGCUCUCCUACUUAUGUUGAGUGUUUUAGAUGGAUUGUAACUAUAAUGGGCUUUGAAAUUGUAAUAGUAAAGCGGAUGCGAGAUGGUUGUGGCUGCUCCGACGUUACAACAACAGAUGGAAAAUUUGAUUCAUGAUGACUGAACUUGGUAGAUCAAGUGGCGAAUGAGAAUGUAGCUAUUUGCUUUGGACGCUUAGUGACAGUGUAGAAGUUUAGUAUCCGCUAGUCCCUGGACCAACCCAUUCUUAUUCUUGAGUAUUUCGGUUACAAGGGGAGAAGUGAAUAAUCGUGUUGAGAAUUUUGAGAGUUCUAGGUAACUCUAACAUCAAGUGACCUUGGUCACUAGAAAAGUUAGAAAUUUAGGUGCGGUGUGGUUGUUCAGAAAGCAGUUCUUUAUUUCAAAAUGCGUGAUUGUUGGGAGCCAAAAGAGUUGAGGAAUAUUUCGGUGUAUACAUAACCGAAGAUGUAGAGAUUGUUUGGAGAAGUGAGGUUGUGUGCCCAUAGUAAUUUUCAAGCGGCAUUGUUUAUGUUAGGUGACACAAGUCUUGAACUUUUGGGUUAUGAUGGCGUGACCAAAGUUUGUUUGCUAAAAUCACUUAGUUCGUGGUGGGAGAUUAACUGUGAUGUUCAAGGUGAGAUUAUGUUUACCCACCAUAUUUCAAACUCGAUAGACAGAAUAAUAAGAGUUUUAGAUGUAACGUGUUUUGGCUAUACCUAAGUUGGCUUUGCUGCAGUUUUAGAUAGCCGAAACACUCCUUUUUUCUAACGAUCUUGUGCUUUUGGAGGGCGGAAACUAUAAUUUUUAAGUUACGAAUCUUGGAGCCGCAAGUAUUAAGUGGUAUCAAGAGAGCCACGAGGCGAUGUUAAAUGAAUUGUUCGAGUCACGAGGUGUAUGAUUUAUGGAGUAGCUUUAGGGGAAACGGUUUCUCGGUUGAUUUAAGUAAGUAUUUUUGUUCAGAGUUUAGGGUAUCGAGGACAAUGCAUGUCCUGAUACGUUUAACGCCUUCCCUCCUGUAAGAGUUUUUCUUAUGGACCGCAUAGUCGUGGGACCACUUACUAUUCCAAGUAUGGUCUGGGAGAUCAUCACCGUUUGGUCAGGUGUCGAGAGGGGGAUAGGCUUAAACUUUUCUAUUAGAUUCUGGCUUUAAGGACGUGGUCGAAAUGGGUCGCUAGUGGAUGUCGGUUAUUGGUAGAACUUAUGAGCUCGAAAUUAUGGAUUUGCUUUCUUCUUGUACUUUAGUUAUUUUCCUCUUGAGUUUGAGCCAAGGUGAGUUUCGAUAUAUUCUUGCUCUUACAGUUUUUUGCGAUUGAUAAACCACAAAUUGUAGUAGUGGCAAUUAAUUUUGACAUCCGAUAGUUAACUUAAGUGUUUUGCGAACUCAGCUUAAUAGUGUUGUUGAACUGAAGGAGCCGCUAAAUGUUGUUUUCAGAUGUCGCUGCUUAUGACUAUCAAUAAAGUCAACUAAGAUAUAAUCUAGUUAUUGCUGAUACUCUAGUCAGAAACUUUGGGGCUUAGCAGCUGUAGCAACCAGCGUUUGCAAGAAUUUUGACCAUAACAGUUUUGUGGAUUAUGUUCUGUCCUCAGUGUCAGGACCCACCCCGAAUUUCACCCUGAAACCUGAAGUAAAUCCUACGGGGACCACCUCCAAGGAAAAUUUACCGAAAAAUUGGCAUAACCUCCCUUGAAAAUGGACAACCCUUCCUAACUAAAACAGCUGCAAACACUUCUAACAAUUCCAACUCCAACCUUAUAAACUCCUAGAGCCUUCGUGCUCCCCAUAAAUCACAACAUCUCCCAAUUUAUAUUUACUCAUCUAGCAAAAAAUCUCAUAACCAUCAAUCACAGGUUCAGAGCAACUCUAUUAGAGGAGACAGGAACUAGAAAUAGAAAUAUGAGCGGAAGCUAUACUAUUGAUUAUGCCUCGUCUCCAUGUAUGCCCGACCUCAAUUAUGCUAACCUGCAUACUGGGCAUUUUUAAAACGAAGGGUCCAGGGGAAAACAUUUGAAACCGUUUAAGUGAGUGGACAAAAAUGAAUUCAAUAAAAAUAUUUAUGCAUGCCCAAUUUAAUUUUUCAUAGAAAUUAUGAUGCAUGUGAUAGCUCAAAGCUUUAUACUCACAAACUGGCAAAUACAUGACUAGCUCCGGCCAGUCUCCAAAACUCAAUAAAAUGGAACCUCUCAGGCUAAACUAUAUAUAAAUAUAUAUGUGUAUGUAUUUACAUUUGUCAGACUCCUUGUACGAAUUCUAUGAACAAAAUAGAAAAAUAGAAAUUUAUACAAGGCUACUACGCUUGCGUCUAACGCUCACGUCUAACGCUCACGUCACACCAUAAUGGAAUUUUACCUCAUUAUGGCGGAAAAGCACGAGUGUAUAUACGUGUGGACUCCCUAUAUGAAAACCUAUAUGAAUCAGAUAAGAAAGUAGUUUUCAUAUAGGGCGGUGAUGCUUGUGUCUAACACUCACGUCACGCCAUAAUGGAAUUUCACCUUAUUAUGACGGACCAAACACGUAUGGCUAGCUAGCAUUUAUAUACAUACUAUCCUCAUAAACAUCCAAUAUACAUAUCCACCGAAAAUCUCAUUUUCAGUAACUCUCCAAAACACAAAAAUUGUCAAAUAUCAAAGAAAGCAAUAAAUUUCAGCAGAAGAAUAACCGAUCAACAAUGUAAUGCAUCACAUGCUUUUAAUUAAAACUAAAGUCCACUCACAACUUUAGGCAUAAGCCCGACGAAAUUCAAUUCGCCCCUCAAGUGAGGUCUCCUCAAAUCCUGGCACAAAAACAAUGCUUAGGACCACACUUCAAUUUCAUAAUAAAUAAUACUUAAAUAUAUAACCCAAAACUUGUCCGCCUAACCCACUACCCUUUCUAGGAUUAAGCUUAUCGGAUUCAGGCCAAAUUCCAACCAUAGCCUUAUUUCCUUUAUUUCAAUAUUCUAAAACAAUAAUAAGGGAAAUCCAACGGUCGGAUUCUACCCUAUUAACUGUCAAAUUCACCAAUCUUUCAAAAAUCCAAAACCUAUUCAAAACUCUUCCAAAAAUUCCAAACUUCACAUCAUUAAACUCCCUUUAAUAUAUCACAAUUAAAACCAUAAAAAUCCUCUAAACAGUGGCAGCGCUGCCGUUUGCUCCGCCGGCAGCGGCGGCCGAAGGCCUAAUCCGGCGACCUCCAAUGCCUACCAAAUUUUAACAACAGCUUCCACUUAACCCCCUCUACAACUUUCCUAACUAGCACAAACACCAAUUCCAAGCCUAACUAGGUCAAUCAAACAAAAAAUCACAAAAAGCCCUAGAACUUCCACUCACCGGUUCUCCUCACCUGAAGCAAACUGGACCGAGUCCUCUUAGGGCAAGGCAACUGGGUUGAAGGCCUUCAAAACCAUGUAAGGCUUGCACAGAUUGGUGGCCGGAGGAGGAAGUUCCGGCGACAGAGAGCUUUGGGCAGUCGGGACUUUCGAGUGGCAACUCUCCCUCACGGCGGCGCUAGGAGAGCUCUCACCGGUCUAGGAUGGGAGUUGGGUCGGAGGCCUACCGAUCGGGACUGGAGUGGCGGUCUCAGGUGGCCGAACGACAACGAACAGCCGACUAGAAGUUCGGCGUGGAGAGGGCUCGGGGAAGAGGGAGAGAAGAGAAAGAGAGUGGGCUUUGUCCACUAAAAUGUGACCCAGUCCACUCAUUAAUACCCACACUUCAUAACAUAAAACACCCCAAUAAAAAUACCCUAAUAAAAAUUACCUUUUACUAGCCAAAAUUUAACCAUUUUUACCGUCGUCACAUUUUCUCCUACGAAUAAUUCCUCCGAAAUAAUCGUCCCUCAAAACCCCUCUAGGGACCAAAUAAACUAUAAAUUCAUUGACAGAGACGGUAAAAUUCUUAUUAUAACCAAGCUAGUAAAUAAGGUAAAAAUUUAAGAGUCGGGAUAUAACACUCAGACUAAUUGAUAAGGAAGUGGAAAGAGAUGUGGGUUUGUACAGUUUGGAGAUUCUGGCAUUUAAAAAUCUUUCUUAUAGGGUGGUGAGAGUGAGCCGUAGGAUUUUAGCUAUCGAAUUUGUGGUCGCGAUUGAACCCGAAUCAGAAGUGUGGCUUGGGGUACAAAUUUUGUCAAUGCUUAAGGAAGGUGAUUUGUUUGUGUGGAUUUCUACGUUUAGUCAAGCAACAUGAAUUGUCGCAGUAAAUAGUGAACAACUCAUCUCUUCUUGUUCGGGGAACAGGUCCUGCAACCUAAAGGCUCGUCUGCAUGCAAGUUGGAACGAAUUUGGUUAGUAUGAGGGGAUAAUCGUAUUUCCCUCAUUUUUAGAGGUGCCAGUUUUGGGUAUGUUGGUCGGUUUUUUGAGGGUGAUAUUUUUCUUGUGCUUGUAAGUCGUUGUUGGUGGCGACUGUUGAAUUUAUUAUUGAGGAAUGAGAUUCCGACGGUUAUUAUUGGUUAGUAAUGAUUAAUUCGCGGGGCGAAUUAUUAGAAAUAAUAAUAUGAUUGGCUGGUGGUAUAGCUCCAAGGAAAAAGAUUCUCGAUGACUCAGGAAAUAUUUUUAGUUAAGGCUUGUCAAUUCAUUGGCAUAAAUAGUAAAAUUGUGACAGUUUAUGUUAAAUGACUUUCUUGUGAUACAUAUUCAUACAUAAUCGUAUUGUGGUGGGACCACUUUUGAUCUGUAUAGGACCUGGGAGGUCAUUGAUGUAUGGAUACGAUUUAAGAUAUAAGAGAUAUUUAGUGUAGGGGUAUGGUAACAUAGAUCGCAUUAGCAUAAUCUGGCGACAAAGGAGGUAUUUGCCGAUCAGCUUAACAAUUGAGGCCAAUCCUAUAGGUGGUGAGAGUCCUAUUUGAUGAGAACGAUCAAGUUUUGUUUUGAUUAAUUGGUGACGAAAGUAAGAUGGUGUUGUGAAUCACGAAUUCUCUUUGACCAUUUUGACUUGGCGAAAGUCAAAAGUCAUCCGUGUGAUUUGGGGUUGUGUAUCAUAAGUAAUUAUAAUCGGGAAAACCAUUCAAUUAGUGGAAGAUAAGUCAAGGAGUAAGGCGUAUUAUGUGAGUGGUACCAUGUGGAAUGUUGUCGGAGUAUUUCAGUUGACCCUAAGUUUGAGAUUUGUUAAAGCAUAUGCUCACGCCUUGGGUUUGGUAGAUAAGUUAUGAUGUGCUAGUAUAAGUGGAAAAGAAUUCGGCUAAUUGUUUCCACAAGUGAAAAGGUGUAAUUUGUGAUAGAAGAAAGUUUGAAGAGCAUUGAUGAUGGGAUGAUUUAGCUUAGCGCUUAUUGGAGUCUGAGGUGAAAGACAGUUCCCUCCACCCCCUUUUAUGAUUUGAAAUUUCGAGCACGAAAUUUUUAUAAGGAGGGGAGAAUUGUCACAUCCCGGUUCUUAAAUUAAAUUACGGUUAUUUACUUUGGUAUUACUUUGGUCUUUUACCGUUUUACGUAACCGUUUACUAUUUAAGACUCCAAAAGUUGACUUUUUUUUCCGUUUGAAAUUUGGGAAAAGUUCCUUCACAAAAGUCGUAGAGGAAGUUAAUACAAAUUCCUAGACAUACUAUAUGUUAUAAUCAGAGUUAGCAUGAAAAAGUUAUCAGAUAAAAGGGGUAAAUUUUGAGUGGUAAAAAUGGGGUGAAUUUUAAUAGGCUUUAUUUGUUGUGGGUAUUAAGUUGGAUCGGGUGUGAAGCAACCCAACACCCACACACUUACUCUCUCUCUCUCUCUCUCUCUCUCUCUCUCUCUUCCUUCUCUCUCUCCCGAACUCACCCCGACCCGCCGGAUUCCUCGGCUCCGACCGCCGCCGUCCGGCCACCAUAGACAGGCACACCGGUACCAAACGGUCGGCUGUCGACCCAGCCUUCUCUCUGGACUGGUGAGAGCUGCCCUAGCGCCGACGUGAGGGAGAGAGCUCGCCCGGAAGCUCCGCCUGCCUUGUGGAACCCGUCACAGGAACUCACUACUCCGGCCACCAUCGCCGGUGAUUUGGGUCUCAUUUGGAAGAGCUUGUCUUGUGUAACAAUACCCUAGAAGGUAAUUAACCAAUUCGAAAUGUGUAGGAGGAUUUUCGGUCUAGGGUUUGAAUUGGGGAUUUUUGGAUGUUUUGAUUCGAUUACCCUAGUUAGGAUUAAAAUUGGACUAAGUGCUAGUUAUGGAAGUUGUUGUACGUAUUGAGAGGAUUGUUGUGCUAAAAUUUGGGAAGCAUUGGAGGUUGCCGGAGUACGGCUACCGGCCGCCCCUUAGGGAUAGUUUUUCAUGUUUUUGAGAUUGUUUUAAUGAUGUGAAGUUUAGAAUUUUUUGAGGAGUUUUGGUUAGGUAUGGGAUUUUUCAAAGAUUAAGAAUUUCAGCGGUUGUUAGAAUGAAAAUCCGGCCGUUGGAUUUCCUUGAUACUAGGAUAUUAGAAUUGAUGAAUUAAGGUUGUGGUGGAGUUUGGUAUGAAUCUGAUAAGCUUAACCCUAGAGAGGGUAGUGGGUUAGGCGGAAGAUUUUCAGGGUGUUUUAUUAAAGCAUUUAUUUUUCCAAAAAUCAGAAUGUGGUUCUAAUUAUGCUUAUGGUGUUAGGAUUCAUGGAGACCUCACUUGUAUGGCUAUAUCGGCUUCUUAUUUAUUGUUGUUGGCCUAACUAGUGGGGCUAGUCAAUCUUUUUGAUAUUCCUUUUUACAAAGAUCUUUAUGAAUCCUUGUUGUUGUUGUUUUGACUAGCGAGGCUAGUCCGUUUUCUCGGGAUUUUAUUUUGAAGGCGUUAUCAACACUUGCAUGCAACGGAUUUAUUGCUUAUCGGAAAGUAGGAAAGUAUUUAAGUUUUGGUUUCUUAUUCUAUGUCCUUUUAUUUAUUUAUUUUUGUCCACUCACUCUAACGUUUUAAGUUACUUUCCUUUGGGCCCUGUGGUUUCAAAUGCCCAGUUUGUAGGCUAAGUUUAAAUAAGGUCGAGCGUACAUGGAGUCGAAGCAUAGUCAGAGGCUGCUUCUGCUUACUCUUUAUUCAUUGUUUUUCUUUCAUUAUAGAUGCUCUGAUGACCAUUAGAGAUUGUUAUUAGUUGAGUAUGGUUGGAAGUAUUUUGGGAGAUGUUAUGAACUUGGGGAGCAAGAAGGCUCUAGGAGUUGAGGUUGGAUGAUUUAUAAUAAAAGUGUCUAUUUGGAAUUUUUUUCAAGUAAGGGUUGUCCAUUUUCAAGGUAGAUUAUGCCGAAUUUUCGGUAAAUUUUCCUUGGAGGUGGACCCUGCAGGAUUUACUUCGGGUUUCAGGGUGAAAUUCGGGGUGGGUCCUAUCAGUUGCUCUGGACAGUGGUUGUUGGUUGUGAGAUUUUCUUUUUAAAGUUAGUAAAUAAAUUGGGAGAUGUUGUGAUUGGGGGAGCACGAAGGCUCUAUGAGAUGUUGUGAUUUGGAUUUUUAGAAGUGUAUGCAGGUUUUAUUAGGAAGGGUUGUCCAUUUUCAAGGGAGGUUAUGCCGAAUUUUCAGUAAAUUUUCCUUGGAGGUGGUCCCCGCAGGAUUUACUUCGAGUUUCAGGGUGAAAUUCGGGGUGAGUCUUGACAGAUAGGUUCUUGGGCAAGUGAUGCUAUAAUACCCUAGAUUUUCAUAUCAUUUUCCUUGUAUUAUUUCUGGAUUUAAUGAACGAUUAUUUAUGGAAAUUCUUUAGUUUAAGCGAAGUUGAAGUUUCGGGAGUAAAUUUUAAGGUGCUUUGACUUUUAAGAGGCCAAAAGUUGACUUUAUUUUCCGUAAGUUAUUUGCAAAAACUUCCUUUAUGAAAGUUGUAGAGUUUGGCGAUACGAGUUCGUAGACACGCGGUGCGUGUAAUUUAGAUGUCGUAUGAGAAAGUUUUGGUCAGAGGAAGUUAGUUUCCGGGUUUGGAAAGUGUACAAGUAGAAAAAUGUGUGUGGGAGUUUUUUUUGGGAACCCUAAAAUCAGCUCACUCUCUUCUCUCUCUUCUCUCUCUUCUCUCCCUCCCCCUCCCGACCUCACCCGUGCACCAAAACUUUGACCGGAGUAUCUCCGCCGUCCGGCCACCAUUUGGACCGCCACCGGCCACCAUUCGACUCCCGCAAGUGCUCUCUUCAAGGCUGGGUAGCUGCUGCUCGAUGUGGCACGCCGGAAUCGGAGCCCUCACUACUACAAAUAUGAGCUUUAAUGACAUUAUAUCCACAGCGUUUCUGGCAAAAUCGCCAUGAAAGAAUGUUUCAAUGACAUUUUUAUAUCAAAACGUCAUGAAUCUUUCUGGGCUAAACAAUUAACAACACUUUUGAAACGCCGUAGAAUAUUAUAAACAUUAACGGUGUUUCUCAGACACCAUAAAAGGUAACCGCGUUUAGUUAAC